GUGGGGAAUAUUGGACAAUGGGGGGAACCCUGAUCCAGCCAUGCCGCGUGUGUGAAGAAGGCCUUUUGGUUGUAAAGCACUUUAAGCGAGGAGGAGGCUACCGAGAUUAAUACUCUUGGAUAGUGGACGUUACUCGCAGAAUAAGCACCGGCUAACUCUGUGCCAGCAGCCGCGGUAAUACAGAGGGUGCAAGCGUUAAUCGGAUUUACUGGGCGUAAAGCGCGCGUAGGUGGCCAAUUAAGUCAAAUGUGAAAUCCCCGAGCUUAACUUGGGAAUUGCAUUCGAUACUUGUUGGCUAGAGUAUGGGAGAGGAUGGUAGAAUUCCAGGUGUAGCGGUGAAAUGCGUAGAGAUCUGGAGGAAUACCGAUGGCGAAGGCAGCCAUCUGGCCUAAUACUGACACUGAGGUGCGAAAGCAUGGGGAGCAAACAGGAUUAGAUACCCUUGUAGUCC
rnacentral:rRNA from 1 species